CAUGAUUCCCCUGGUUCAACCAGAGUGAUAAACUUGGUCUUUGUUGAUCCAUCAUCAACGAAUUGUUGUUGAAAUCUACAUGAAAUCCAUGAUUUGAACCAUAUUGUGGAGAUGGAAUUCCACCUAUGUUUUGAAAUAUUCCAUGUUGUGAAUGUGAACCCAUCAUAGAACCACUACAUUCUUCAUUCUUGAAAUUUAGAUUUGUUGUUGGA
rnacentral:lncRNA from 1 species